AUUUAUUAAAGAGCUACCAUAUGUAGUGUCUGCAAUCUGUUAUGAUGAAAAUUAGAAUACCACUAGGAUUGACUAGAGAUCAAUUUUACGUUGUACUGAUCUUAGGGACAGUCAGCGGUUUAUAUAAUUGGAAAAGUUUGUUGGAGAAUCAUUUGAAAGAAGAAUACGCAAAGACAGUGGCGGAAAAGGAAGAAUCAAAUGAGUCUACCAGCAAAAACCAGGAACCUGUUGAUUCAAAAAUUUAGUAAACUCGGGCUUAUAGUAAUUGGUGGAGCUUUGGUUGUAACAUGUUUUAGAAUUUAUAUAAAGCCAUGGUAUAUAAAACGAAAGGGGAUGCAAGCAGAAGAACAUGCAAAUAUUAUUUACGAGUUACGCAAAAAAAGAAUUUUAGAGCAGAAAGAAAAUGAAAUUUGAAGUAGAUUCAAUAUUGUAUAUUGCCAUAUUAUUUACAUGGUUCUUUAUUGAUACUCUUAUUUAAAUAAAUAAAAGAUGUAAAUAGAACGAUACAAUAAAAUCUCUAUUGUUCCAA